UUUUCUCUCACUUCCGCAGAACUCUCUAAAAAGGAAUUUAUUUUUCUCCUUCAAAACAACAAUGGUGAUUUUCUCUUUCAAAGCAACAAUGACGAAUUUUCAACACGUCUAGACAUCACAGUUGUGCAAGGCAUAGGUAAUUGACACUUAAGAUUAUGAGUGAUUCGCCAUCAUCAGUUGCCGGUGUUCCUUGUACUCCUACUACUCCAAUUACUCCAGAUAUCUCUAUUGGGUCUACUAGCGGCUCAUCGACAUCUAGUCGGUUGGUCAUCUCAGUUGUAGGAGAAAAGUUUGUUCCUAAUGGUCAUUCUAUUUCGAAGAGCAUCACAGAAACAUUCAAGGAACGACAAGAUGCUACUGGUUAGUCAUGGAAGGAUGUUAGUGAAUCCACUCGUAAAUUCUAUUGGCAUGAAUUUGUG